GGAAAUUAAUAAUAUUAAACAUAUUACUUCAAAAAUUAAUGCAAUUCUGGCUCAUAAUUCACCAGUUUUGAUUGUUCAAAGAUGGAUACGUGGUUUCUUAGUUAGAAAAAAUUUGAGCCCUGUGUUUUUCCACAAAAAAAAACAGCAGGAAAAAAUUAUUAGAGGAUAUGAAGCAAAAUGGAUUUACAUAACCAAAGGGUAUGAAGAUAAGCUCCUUAAGGAUCUCUUUUUCAAACCUGAAACUAAUAUAAAAGGAAAGCUUGCAUAUUGGAAACAUAAAGAAGAGGAAAUAAAGAAGAAGAGGUCACAGCUAUUGUGUUUACUUUUGGAAAGUUCCUAGAAGCUGCCAUGCAACACUCUGCUUAUAUCUGGAUAAAAAAAAAUUAUGGGUCAAUUUUCACUGAAGUGGGCUGGAUGUGUGUAUUCAUCUCUCAUCAGUGCCAAAAGGAAUUAUGCACAUCAUUCAUUGGACAACAGGAUGAAAACUUGUCUCUGAUUGGACACUAGGGAUAUCAGCUGUACACACAAGAUAAGUGUAAAGUUGAAAAGAGAAAUACACUUAGUAAUUCACUCAAGCUAGCAUUUAUUAACACUUUAAAACUUGCAUUAAAAUGUUCAUGAUAUUAUUUCCUUCCUCAUAUAAGAAAGCUAACAUUACAAUUCUUAAAUUGAAUGAAACAUACCAUCAUAAAAAUUGCUUUGCAGAGACUGCUAAUGCAAAAACUUUUAAGCUGUUCAUCCUUUUUUAAUGAAAAAGAUAAUAAGAUCAAUAAAAGCACCAUUCUUUACCACUUA
rnacentral:lncRNA from 10 species